GAUGAACGCUAGCGACAGGCUUAACACAUGCAAGUCGAGGGGCAGCGGGGGCGAAGCUUGCUUCGCCUGCCGGCGACCGGCGCACGGGUGAGUAACACGUAUGCAACCUACCCCCUGCAGGGGAAUAACCCGGAGAAAUCCGGACUAAUACCACACGGCACUUUCGGGAGGCAUCUUCUGAGGGUUAAAGGAGCGAUCCGGCCGGGGAUGGGCAUGCGGCGCAUUAGCUAGUCGGCGGGGUAACGGCCCACCGAGGCGACGAUGCGUAGGGGUUCUGAGAGGAAGGUCCCCCACACUGGUACUGAGACACGGACCAG
rnacentral:rRNA from 1 species